GAUGAACGCUGGCGGCGUGCCUAAUACAUGCAAGUCGAGCGAACAGACGAGGCUCUUGCUCCUCUGACGUUAGCGGCGGACGGGUGAGUAACACGUGGAUAACCUACCUAUAAGACUGGGAUAACUUCGGGAAACCGGAUCUAAUACCGGAUAAUAUAUUGAACCGCAUGGUUCAUUAGUGAAAGACGGUUUUGCUGUCACUUAUAGAUGGAUCCGCGCCGCAUUAGCUAGUUGGUAAGGUAACGGCUUACCAAGGCAACGUUGCGUAGCCGACCUGAGAGGGUGAGCGGCCACCCUGGAAGGGAGACAGGGUCCAGAGUCCUAGGGGAGGCAGCAGUAGGGAAACGGGAGCAAGGGGCGAAGGCCUGACGGAGCAGCGCGGCGGGAGUAAGGAGGGUCUUCGGAUCGUAAAACUCUGUUAUUGGGGAGGAACAAAUUUGUAAGUAACUAUGCACGUCUUGACGGUACAUAAGCAGAAAGCCACGGCUAACUACGUG
rnacentral:rRNA from 1 species